UACAGGGGGUGCAAACGUUGCUCGGAAUUAUUGGGCGUAAAGCGCGCGUAGGCGGCCCGGUAAGUCCGUUGUGAAAGUCAAAGGCUCAACCUUUGAACGCCGAUGGAUACUGCCGGGCUAGAGUUCGGAAGAGGCGAGUGGAAUUCCCGGUGUAGCGGUGAAAUGCGCAGAUAUCAGGAAGAACACCCGUGGCGAAGGCGGUUCUCUGGGACGGUACUGACGCUGAGACGCGAAAGCGUGGGGAGCGAACAGG
rnacentral:rRNA from 1 species